UGUCUGCCUAUUGAUCGCUAGAGUGGACUUAGCUGAUCUGGCUGCCUGGGUG
rnacentral:sRNA from 1 species